rnacentral:rRNA from 1 species
CGUAGAGAAAUCGAGUCUUAAUAGGGCGUUUAGUUGCUGGGUAUAGACCCGAAACCAGGCGAUCUAUCCAUGAGCAGGUUGAAGGUUGGGUAACACUAACUGGAGGACCGAACCCACUGUCGUUGAAAAGCCAGGGGAUGACUUGUGGAUAGGGGUGAAAGGCUAAUCAAGCCUGGUGAUAGCUGGUUCUCCCCGAAAGCUAUUUAGGUAGCGCCUCGGACGAAUACCAUAGGGGGUAGAGCACUGUUUCGGCUAGGGGGUCAUCCCGACUUACCAAACCGAUGCAAACUCCGAAUACCUAUGAGUACUAUCCGGGAGACAGACUGCGGGUGCUAACGUCCGUAGUCAAGAGGAAAACAAUCCAGACCGCCAGCUAAGGCCCCAAAAUCAUAGUUAAGUGGGAAACGAUGUGGGAAGGCAUAGACAGCUAGGAGGUUGGCUUAGAAGCAGCCACCCUUUAAAGAAAGCGUAAUAGCUCACUAGUCGAGUCGGCCUGCGCGGAAGAUGUAACGGGGCUAAAACUAUGUGCCGAAGCUGCGGAUUUGACAUUAGUCAAGUGGUAGGGGAGCGUUCUGUAAGCCGAUGAAGGUGUGUUGAGAAGCAUGCUGGAGGUAUCAGAAGUGCGAAUGCUGACGUGAGUAACGACAAAACGGGUGAAAAACCCGUUCGCCGAAAGACCAAGGGUUCCAGUCCAACGUUAAUCGGGGCUGGGUGAGUCGACCCCUAAGGCGAGGCCGAAAGGCGUAGUCGAUGGGAAAAUGGUUAAUAUUCCAUUACUUCUGUGUAAUGCGAUGAGAGGACGGAGAAGGCUAAAUCAGCCUGGCGUUGGUUGUCCAGGUGAAAGGAUGUAGGCAUGUAUCUUAGGCAAAUCCGGGGUACUCUAUGCUGAGAUCUGAUAGCAAGCUGUACUUGUACAGCGAAGUGGUUGAUGCCAUGCUUCCAGGAAAAGUCUCUAAGCUUCAGUUACACAGGAAUCGUACCCGAAACCGACACAGGUGGUCAGGUCGAGUAGACCAAGGCGCUUGAGAGAACUCUGCUGAAGGAACUAGGCAAAAUGGUACCGUAACUUCGGGAGAAGGUACGCUGUUGUUGGUGAUGGAACUCGCUUCCUGAGCUGACGACAGCCGCAGAAACCAGGCCGCUGCAACUGUUUAUUAAAAACAUAGCACUCUGCAAACACGAAAGUGGACGUAUAGGGUGUGAUGCCUGCCCGGUGCUGGAAGGUUAAUUGAUGGGGUUAGCGUAAGCGAAGCUCUUGAUCGAAGCCCCAGUAAACGGCGGCCGUAACUAUAACGGUCCUAAGGUAGCGAAAUUCCUUGUCGGGUAAGUUCCGACCUGCACGAAUGGCAUAAUGAUGGCGGCGCUGUCUCCAGCAGAGGCUCAGUGAAAUCGAAAUCGCUGUGAAGAUGCAGUGUACCCGCGGCUAGACGGAAAGACCCCGUGAACCUUUACUGCAGCUUGACACUGAACUUUGACCUUACUUGUGUAGGAUAGGUGGGAGGCUUUGAAGCUGGAACGCUAGUUCCAGUGGAGCCGUCCUUGAAAUACCACCCUGGUAAUGUUGAGGUUCUAACUCUGUCCCGUGAUCCGGGACGAGGACCGUGUCUGGUGGGUAGUUUGACUGGGGCGGUCUCCUCCUAAAGAGUAACGGAGGAGUACGAAGGUGCGCUCAGCGUGGUCGGAAAUCACGCGUAGAGUAUAAAGGCAAAAGCGCGCUUAACUGCGAGACCCACAAGUCGAGCAGGUACGAAAGUAGGUCUUAGUGAUCCGGUGGUUCUGUAUGGAAGGGCCAUCGCUCAACGGAUAAAAGGUACUCUGGGGAUAACAGGCUGAUACCGCCCAAGAGUUCAUAUCGACGGCGGUGUUUGGCACCUCGAUGUCGGCUCAUCUCAUCCUGGGGCUGAAGCAGGUCCCAAGGGUAUGGCUGUUCGCCAUUUAAAGAGGUACGCGAGCUGGGUUUAGAACGUCGUGAGACAGUUCGGUCCCUAUCUACCGUGGGCGCUGGAAAUUUGAGAGGAUCUGCUCCUAGUACGAGAGGACCAGAGUGGACGAACCUCUGGUGUACCGGUUGUGACGCCAGUCGCAUCGCCGGGUAGCUAUGUUCGGAAGGGAUAACCGCUGAAAGCAUCUAAGCGGGAAGCCUACCUCAAGAUAAGAUUUCCCUAGGACUUUAUGUCCUCUAAAGAGCCGUUCGAGACUAGGACGUUGAUAGGUUGGAUGUGGAAGCAUAGUGAUAUGUGAAGCUGACCAAUACUAAUUGCUCGUGAGGCUUGACUAU